rnacentral:rRNA from 1 species
GACGAACGCUGGCGGCGUGCCUAAUACAUGCAAGUAGAACGCUGAAGAGAGGAGCUUGCUCUUCUUGAAUGAGUUGCGAACGGGUGAGUAACGCGUAGGUAACCUGCCUUGUAGCGGGGGAUAACUAUUGGAAACGAUAGCUAAUACCGCAUAACAAUGGGUGACACAUGUCAUUUAUUUGAAAGGGGCAAUUGCUCCACUACAAGAUGGACCUGCGUUGUAUUAGCUAGUAGGUGAGGUAACGGCUCACCUAGGCGACGAUACAUAGCCGACCUGAGAGGGUGAUCGGCCACACUGGGACUGAGACACGGCCCAGACUCCUACGGGAGGCAGCAGUAGGGAAUCUUCGGCAAUGGGGGCAACCCUGACCGAGCAACGCCGCGUGAGUGAAGAAGGUUUUCGGAUCGUAAAGCUCUGUUGUAAGUCAAGAACGAGUGUGAGAGUGGAAAGUUCACACUGUGACGGUAGCUUACCAGAAAGGGACGGCUAACUACGUGCCAGCAGCCGCGGUAAUACGUAGGUCCCGAGCGUUGUCCGGAUUUAUUGGGCGUAAAGCGAGCGCAGGCGGUUUGAUAAGUCUGAAGUUAAAGGCUGUGGCUCAACCAUAGUUCGCUUUGGAAACUGUCAAACUUGAGUGCAGAAGGGGAGAGUGGAAUUCCAUGUGUAGCGGUGAAAUGCGUAGAUAUAUGGAGGAACACCGGUGGCGAAAGCGGCUCUCUGGUCUGUAACUGACGCUGAGGCUCGAAAGCGUGGGGAGCGAACAGG